CAUGCAAGUCGAGGGGCAGCAUGAAGUCAGCUUGCUGACUUUGAUGGCGACCGGCGCACGGGUGCGUAACACGUAUCCAAUCUACCCAUGGCUCGGGAAUAGCCUUUCGAAAGAAAGAUUAAUGCCCGAUGGUCUGUUUGUGAGACAUCUCGCAGGCAGUAAAGAUUAAUCGGCGAUGGAUGAGGAUGCGUCCGAUUAGCUGGUUGGCGGGGUAACGGCCCACCAAGGCGACGAUCGGUAGGGGUUCUGAGAGGAAGGUCCCCCACAUUGGAACUGAGACACGGUCCAAACUCCUACGGGAGGCAGCAGUGAGGAAUAUUGGUCAAUGGUCGAGAGACUGAACCAGCCAAGUAGCGUGAGGGAAGACUGCCCUAUGGGUUGUAAACCUCUUUUGUUUGGGAAUAAAGUGAGCCACGUGUGGCUUUUGUAUGUACCUUACGAAUAAGCAUCGCCUAAUUCCGUGCC
rnacentral:rRNA from 1 species